rnacentral:lncRNA from 1 species
UGCUGGCUAGAUUUAAAACUUAAUGGAUCACAUACUUUGAGAUUUGAUCUUGGUCUAAUUUUAUUUAAACUUAUUGUAAGUUCUAAUAAUUAAUUUGAUAUGCUAGCACAUUAUGUUAACCCAAGUUUUCAAUUUGGUUAGUUCAAAGUAUUUGAGCUAGACUUAACCUGUUGUCUUGGAUCUAAUUGGAUUAAAUCCAUAUUUAAUUAGUUUUUUGCCUUUAUAUGGAAGUGUUUAAUGUGUG